AGAUUGAACGCUGGCGGCAUGCCUUACACAUGCAAGUCGAACGGCAGCACGGGAGCAAUCCUGGUGGCGAGUGGCGAACGGGUGAGUAAUAUAUCGGAACGUGCCCAGUCGUGGGGGAUAACGCAGCGAAAGCUGUGCUAAUACCGCAUACGAUCUAUGGAUGAAAGCGGGGGAUCGCAAGACCUCGCGCGAUUGGAGCGGCCGAUAUCAGAUUAGCUAGUUGGUGGGUAAAAGCCUACCAAGGCGACGAUCUGUAGCUGGUCUGAGAGGACGACCAGCCACACUGGAACUGAGACACGGUCCAGACUCCUACGGGAGGCAGCAGUGGGAAGUUUGUAGAA
rnacentral:rRNA from 1 species